rnacentral:snoRNA from 1 species
UUAUGAUGAACACAGAUGACGAGUCUUAUUCGGAUUUCCGAUGCUGACACAAACUUUUUCUUACCAUUCAUGCAUUACCUGAUU